rnacentral:rRNA from 1 species
UACGAACCGUCCAAACGUUAUUCGGAAUUACUGGGCUUAAAGGGUUUGUAGGCGGCCAUGUAAGUGGGGUGUGAAAGCCCUCGGCUCAACCGAGGAAUAGCGCUCCAAACUGUAUGGCUUGAGGGAGACAGGGGUAAGCGGAACUGAUGGUGGAGCGGUGAAAUUCGUAGAUAUUGGGAAGAACACCGGUGGCGAAGGCGGCUAUCUGGACCGACAUUGACGCUGAGGCGCGAAAGCGUGGGGAGCAAACAGG